GCGGCGGGGCCGGGCCGCGGUGGGUGCCCGGGUCCCGGUGUGCCCCCCCCCGGGCCGUGGGGGGACCCGCAGCCGCCGGGCCCCGGGGCUGGGGGGUGCCGGAGAGGUGGCAGAGAGGGGGUGCGAUCCCCCCCGGGCAGCAGCGUGUGCCCGUGGUCGCUACCUCCAGAGUUGCGGCUUGCUGCGCCUCGUUACUUCAUUACGGUCGGAGCGACUGCUGGGGGUGGAGGCGGGUCCCUGCCCCCAUGGGAAGGGUGCCGUGGUCAGGAAGAACAGGUCCCAAAUGCCCCGCAGUUGUAGCACGCGGAACAUGGAGUGAACACAAACAGCCGCCUGCUCGACAGCCGCUCCCGAAGGUACCCGCGCGCUCGGCACAGCGGCGCGCAGCUGCCAUCAGGCAGACUUUGCAUGGGGUUUUGCAUCCUCCCCGAACGCCUGCGUCCCCCAGGCCAACGCCCGGUGCGACGGGCAGAGCAGGGCUGCCGCCGCACGUACGGAGCGUGUGUCUCGUUUGCUUCUCUGCCCUGGCGAGUUGAGCAAACGCACGCCAACGUGGUGCGACAGGACCAUGACGUGCGGCAGGGCAGGGGAUGCUGAGGGCACGUUGCAUCCCCCCAGCCUCCCAUCGCCUUUUCGGGUUGAUUUUCUCUCUGUGAAGAAAAACGUGACUUACUCAUCAGAGACAAAAAGCAGCAUAGCAAGGGGAUGACCCGGGAGGCGUGUGUAAACAGUCAUUUGCGUUUUACGUGGUUUGGGAAAUUGAGACCUGAAAUAAAGAGUUCCCCUUUA